rnacentral:rRNA from 1 species
UACGUAGGGUGCAAGCGUUAAUCGGAAUUACUGGGCGUAAAGCGUGCGCAGGCGGUUUCGUAAGUCUGUCGUGAAAUCCCCGGGCUUAACCUGGGAAUGGCGAUGGAGACUGCGAGGCUAGAGUUUGGCAGAGGGGGGUAGAAUUCCACGUGUAGCAGUGAAAUGCGUAGAGAUGUGGAGGAACACCGAUGGCGAAGGCAGCCCCCUGGGUCAAAACUGACUCUCAUGCACGAAAGCGUGGGGAGCAAACAGG